rnacentral:tRNA from 1 species
GAAGGCGUAGCUCAAGUGGUAGAGCACACGCUUAGCAUGCACGAGGUCCUGGGUUCAAUCCCCAGUACCCCCU